rnacentral:rRNA from 1 species
CCUACGUGUGGCAGCAGUGAGGAAUAUUGGUCAAUGGGCGCGAGCCUGAACCAGCCAAGUAGCGUGAAGGAUGACUGCCCUACGGGUUGUAAACUUCUUUUAUAAAGGAAUAAAGUGAGGCACGUGUGCCUUUUUGUAUGUACUUUAUGAAUAAGGAUCGGCUAACUCCGUGCCAGCAGCCGCGGUAAUCCGGAGGAUCCGAGCGUUAUCCGGAUUUAUUGGGUUUAAAGGGCGCGUAGAUGGGUUGUUAAGUCAGUUGUGAAAGUUUGCGGCUCAACCGUAAAAUUGCAAUUGAUACUGGCAGUCUUGAGUACAGUUGAGGUAGGCGGAAUUCGUGGUGUAGCGGUGAAAUGCGUAGAGAUCACGAAGAACUCCGAUUGCGAAGGCAGCUUACUAAACUGCCACUGACAUUGAUGCUCGAAAGUGUGGGUAUCAAACAGGAUUAGAUACCCCUGUAGUC